UACGGAGGGUGCAAGCGUUGUUCGGAAUUACUGGGCGUAAAGAGCGCGCAGGCGGCCUGUUCAGUCUGAUGUGAAAGCCCUCGGCUCAACCGGGGAAGUGCAUUGGAUACUGGCAGGCUAGAGUGUGAGAGGGGAGAGUGGAAUUCCUGGUGUAGCGGUGAAAUGCGUAGAUAUCAGGAGGAACACCGGUGGCGAAGGCGGCUCUCUGGAUCACUACUGACGCUGAGGCGCGAAAGCGUGGGAAGCAAACAGG
rnacentral:misc_RNA from 1 species